AUUGAACGCUGCGGCAGGCUUAACACAUGCAAGUCGAGCGAGCGGCGGACGGGUGAGUAAUGCUUAGGAAUCUGCCUAUUAGUGGGGGACAACAUCUCGAAAGGGAUGCUAAUACCGCAUACUAAUAGAUGAGUCUAAGUCGGAUUAGCUAGUUGGUGGGGUAAAGGCCUACCAAGGCGACGAUCUGUAGCGGGUCUGGGAGGAUGAUCCGCCAAACCUGGACGGGGGAACGGCCCAGACCCCUACGGGAGGGAGCAGGUGGGAAUAUUGGGCAAUUGGGGGAAACCUGGUCCAGCCAUGCCGCGUGUGUGAAGAAAGCCUUAUGGUUGUAAAGGACUUUAAGCGAGGAGGCGUUACCCGCAGAAGAAGCACCGGCUAACUCCGUGCCAGCAGCCGCGGUAAUAC
rnacentral:rRNA from 1 species